rnacentral:rRNA from 1 species
GACGAACGCUGGCGGCGUGGAUUAGGCAUGCAAGUCGAACGGUAUCAUCCUUUCGGGGGUGAGAGAGUGGCGAACGUGGUGAGUAACACGUAGGUUAUCUACCCUCAAGACGGGGACGAACCCAGGGAAACUUGGGCUAAUACCGGAUGUGAGCAACUUUUAGUUGUUUGAAAGGUGGCGUAAGCUGUCGCUUGGGGAUGAGCCUGCGUCCUAUUAGUUAGUUGGUGAGGUAACGGCUCACCUAGGCAAUGAUAGGUAGGCGGCCUUAACGGGUGGUCGCCCACACUGGGAUUGAGAUACGGCCCAGACUCCUACGGGAGGCAGCAGUCGAGAAUAGUCUACAAUGGUCGGAAGACUGAUAGUGCGACGCCGCGUGAACGAUGAAUCCCUUCGGGGUGUAAAGUUCUUUUAUAUGUGAGCAGUGCUUCUUAUAUUAACAGUAUGGGGAGAGAGAUAUUAGCAUAUGAAUAAGCAACGGCUAACUCCGUG